rnacentral:sRNA from 1 species
AUAAAAUAUUCACCCUUAACUCUGGGUGACAGAAUGUAGUGAGUAUAGGCUGAGUUCCAUGUUUGUUUCUGCUAGGCAGGCCCAAGACUCCCACCCCCAAGAAUUCCGAGUGUAUGUGGGAGGGGCUAGCUCCCCAUUCGUCCUGUCCUAUGUGUCAGAGAAUCAAGCCCAUGAGUGACAUGAGCAAUAGCACUGAGCUAACUCAUUCUUGUAGCAAUUUUCUCCUUCUGCAGUACACGCUGCCACAAACCCAGUUACUAACAAAGAACUCUGAUUCGUGAUCUUGUUUCUCUGGAGGUCAGAACCUGAAAUCAUUUCAGGGAAUUAAAACCAAGGUGGUUAGUGAGAUGUGUCCCUUUUCAGGGGUCUAAAAGGCUCUUCCCCACCAUGCAUCUCCUUGUCUUUUUCUAGCUUCCGCUUCUGGAAGCCCCCUUGUAGCCUGGAGUCCCAACCAGCAAUGGUAUUGUUGGCCCUCUGCUCCUAGGGUCCCAGCUCUCUUAUGACCAUCUUACAUUCAUUAGAUCCAUUGUAAUUAAACUGUGUUGGGCUCACCAGGAUAACCCGGGAUAACCUCUCCCAUCUGAAGAUCUUGACUGUAAUCUCAUCUGCAAAAUUCUUUUUGCCGCAUAGAAAAACACAUCCUCCAGCUCUCCGGACUCGGUGCAGACACAUCUGGGGAAUGUGGUGCACUUAUCUGCUCACCUGACUCUUCUAGGAAUGUUGAGGGACCCAAUCAGAGGGCAUGUGUCAGCCAGAGGACUCUCUCUCUCUAACUGGAGCCUCAGAAACAUCUUUGGCUUCAGCCUUCUUGCUCUUCCUUCCUGCUUCUUUUUUCUACUCCACGUUUCCUGACUAAUGGUCCUCUCCUAUUUCAUCUUUCCUUCGUCUUCACAGACACACAGUUCCGGAGAAGAUUCAAUGUUCGCUUCUGAAGGAGAAGAGUCGCUCUGCCCUCGGCAAGCAAAGAAGAAAAAUAAUUUCAGAGCAUGAGUUUACAAACUUUUUUUGCAAAACAAGUUUGGAAAGCUCUGCCGCCAAGUAUUGUCAAUCAGCAUUCCUGGCACGCCUGCGUCGUUAGAUGCUAUGCAAGUCAAGCGGGUCUUUACCGUUGUUGAGACAGCAAAUCUACAGUUUCUGUGCAGUUCCAGAUAUUUGUAAUAAAGCUGCUACUAAAUAUGGCAAACUGCAAUCAGCUAUCUCAAAAUCCACGUCGCUGCUGUGUGUCCUGAAAUGCCGGAAUGGAGGACCAAGCAGGAGGUUUUUUCAACGGAAUAGAAGCAAUGGAAUAUGGAGGAGUGAAAGUGUACACAAUGAGUAAUCAGCCAAUUAGAGGACCUUCCAGCAUGACCUUUGCUUUCAAAUAAUGCUCCCGUGGCCCGACCUCUGCCUUCAUAACUCUUUCAGUAACUUCUGUAUGAGGAGUGACUCGGUGCCUGGAUGCCAGACACUGCCUCGUUUUUUUUCCAGACCUUAUUAGGGCAUGGAACACCCCAGAACUUCCACUUCAUCCUCACCAAAUUGAUGCAACAAUUCUGUCUGAGGGUCUUGGUUCUCUGUGACUAUGCCUACCAACACCUCUGGUUUCUGUUUAUAAAUGUUCAUGAUUUCUGACCCUCUGUGGCCAUGACGAGUUUUAAAGGGGCGUUUCAGCUCCAAAGGAAGACUUUAGCGACAAAAUGUACACAAUGAGUAAUCAGCCAAUUAGAGGACCUUCCAGCAUGACCUUUGCUUUCAAGUGUUCCUAGGGCUUCCGUGGCCAUCUAAGAACAGCAGACACCCAGAGGAUUGGCUGUUCUCCAACAUUCCAGGUCCUUCCUUAUCUGUGCAGGUAAGCUCAACACACUGGAGAUUAUAUGCCAUGCUCCUCUAAAGAACCCAUAGAACAGAAACAACAACAUUCAAAAUUACAAAGAGAAUGAAGAAUGGUGAGCAACACAGGGCAUAAAGAAGAUGGUGUCACCUGUUGCCUAGCAUGUGACAAGUCCUGGGUUUUUAUCACAAGGGCAAGAAAGUUGGGAAGAGGAGAAAUAGAAGGAGGAGAAGGAAGAACCACAAAAGCAAAAGGAAGAGUCACGGAAGUAUUCCCAUGAGGAAAAAUAAAAUUAAAUUAAAAUAUGUAAAAGC